GCCAGGCUUGGUGGCGCACCCCUGUAAUCCCAGCAGCAUGGGAGGCUGAGACAGGAAGAUCAUGAGUUCAAGGCCAGCUUCAGCAAUUUAGCAACUAAAUUGAGGCGCUAAGCAACUCAGUGAGACCCUGUCUCUA
rnacentral:sRNA from 1 species